rnacentral:rRNA from 1 species
UACGUAGGGGGCAAGCGUUGUUCGGAAUUACUGGGCGUAAAGGGCGCGUAGGCGGUCAGCACAAGUCAGUUGUGAAAUCUCCGGGCUUAACUCGGAAAGGUCAACUGAUACUGUGCGACUAGAGUGCAGAAGGGGCAACUGGAAUUCUCGGUGUAGCGGUGAAAUGCGUAGAUAUCGAGAGGAACACCUGCGGCGAAGGCGGGUUGCUGGGCUGACACUGACGCUGAGGCGCGAAAGCCAGGGGAGCGAACGGG